CGGGGGAAGGGGACGGUGCAGGAAAGGCACGGAUUGCGCGGGCUUCCUGCCGGAGCUAAGUACGGACCGGGAGGAGCCAACGCCGAGCUGUACGGGAGGGGAAGCGGGAGGCUGUCGAUCUGAAGCUUCCCCCGGUGUCCACCUUGGACCGCUCCAAGGCGAUGCGGAGGGCAAGCUCAUACUCCGGAUCCAGGUCGUCGUCGAAGCGGUUGCCGGAGCUCGACAUUUCACCAGAUUCGAUCGGAUUAGGUGUGGGGAGAGGAGAGGAUGGAACGAGAGAGGAGAGUGGGUGAGCUAGGGUUUCGGAGCGAUGAGCCGGAUGCGGCUUUUUGUGGGACAGCCUUGGGGUCGUGUGAUAGUCUGACAUAUUAGGGAUGAAAGAGUACUCAUAUCAAUAAAGAAUUUCUUCAUUUUCAGAAACACAUUCGAACAAAGCUCACAGGUUAAACGUGUUUGACUUGGAGUAGUUUUAGGAUGGGUGACCGACCAUCGAGGGAUGUGUUCGAGGCGUUACGGAUAGAUUGGGUUUGUCAGACGAGUGUGACCGAGCUUCUUCAUAUUCGCCCCAUAUUUAAAUUAAAUGUAAAGGAUGUCGGUUGGCCCGGACAUUUGAGCCUCGUUUAGAGCGUCCAUAUAGGUCACUUUCUAACGAUCGAACACUGAUUAGUCGGUUGUCCAAACGUUUAAGACCAAUAUAAGAAAUCCGGCUGUAGAUAAUCUUAUAGCAACGAAAAUAAGACCUCACCAAGGCGACCCCGCAAUGUUUAUCGUAUCGGCCGUACGAGAUUCAGUCGGUGGAGCCGACGAUCUGGCCCGACGCCGCUGCCGCCGUUGUCCCGUUCCCGUUAAU
rnacentral:lncRNA from 1 species